rnacentral:rRNA from 1 species
CCUACGGGAGGCAGCAGUGGGGGAUAUUGCACAAUGGGGGGAACCCUGAUGCAGCGACGCCGCGUGGGUGAAGGAGCGUUUCGGCGCGUAAAGCCCUAUCGGCAGGGAAGAAGAUGACGGUACCUGACCAAGAAGCCCCGGCUACCGACGGGCCAGCAGCCGCGGUCAUACGUAGGGGGCAAGCGUUAUCCGGAUUUACUGGGUGUAAGGGGGGCGCAGACGGCAAUGCAAGCCAGGCGUGAAAGCCCGGGGCCCAACCCCGGGACUGCUCUUGGAACUGCAUGGCUGGAGUACAGGAGGGCCAGUCGGAAUGCCUAGUGUAGCGGUGAAAUGCGUAGAUAUUAGGAGGAACACCGGUGGCGAAGGCGGCCUGCUGGACUGUGACUGACGUUGCGGCCCGAAGGCGUGGGGAGCAAACAGGAUUAGAUACCCCUGUAGUC